GAUGAACGCUGGCGGUGUGCCUAAUACAUGCAAGUCGAGCGAAUGGAUUAAGAGCUUGCUCCUAUGAAGUUAGCGGCGGACGGGUGAGUAACACGUGGGUAACCUGCCCAUAAGACUGGGAUAACUCCGGGAAACCGGGGCUAAUACCGGAUAACAUUUUGAACCGCAUGGUUCGAAAUUGAAAGGCGGCUUCGGCUGUCACUCAUGGAUGGACCCGCGUCGCAUUAGCUAGUUGGUGAGGUAACGGCUCACCAAGGCAACGAUGCGUAGCCGACCUGAGAGGGUGAUCGGCCACACUGGGACUGAGACACGGCCCAGACUCCUACGGGAGGCAGCAGUAGGGAAUCUUCCGCAAUGGACGAAAGUCUGACGGAGCAACGCCGCGUGAGUGAUGAAGGCUUUCGGGUCGUAAAACUCUGUUGUUAGGGAAGAACAAGUGCUAGUUGAAUAAGCUGGCACCUUGACGGUACCUAACCAGAAAGCCACGGCUAACUACGUGCCAGCCGCCGCGGUAA
rnacentral:rRNA from 1 species